AGAAGAGCGGCGGGAGCCGGCAGGGGGCGCGGCCAGCCCCCUCACCGGACAGGACAGAACAGGAGGCUGGGCGAGGGACCACGGGCCUGCGGAGGCGCGCGCCGCUGUUUGCCGCCCCCUACCCGCCUCAGAGUGCGCGCACCUGCCUGCCCCGCCCACCGACUUCCGUGGGCCUAGCGAACUCGCUGCGCAAGUAGCGCCUUCCGGGGAGGCAGGGGUUCUGCGCUGGCUGCGCAGGGCGCGGAUGAUUGCAUCGCAGCCCCGCUGACUCAGAUUGUGGGCACCAUUGGAUCCUCACCUGUCGUGGCUGGCGCAACAAAUCAACCAGGAACUUGAGGACUGUUGGUGGUGGCACAUACAAAGAGAGAGUAUGGGAACUGGAUGGCAGUGGUCCCUCAGUACAGGACAAAAACCAUUCCAUCACCUUCUGCGACCAAAGACUCAGCAACCCCAGCCUUUGUAGCAUUGAAGAAGAGCACAGCACUGUGUGCUCAUAAGUUGACUUAUGUCAACUUUGUGAACAAAGUCUAUCAGCAGAAUUAUGUCCCAACAGUGUUUGAGAAUUAGACGGCCAAUUUUGAAACUGACACACAAAGAAUAGAGUGGAGUCUGUGGCACACUUCGGUAAAUACAUGGAGAAGACAGCCUAGGUUGCAGCAAGAAAAUUCACACUGGACCAAAGAGAGACAAAUAUGCACAUAUGCUAGCAUUGGCUUAACACUCAGAGACCCUGAGCUCUAGAGGGAGAACCUGGUUGGCUGAUAAGCAUUGGUACCAUCUAAGUGUACAGUGCCCAGUGGCAAAAUGAACACAAAACAAGAUCCAUCCCAACACUGACCAGCUCCAUUGUUUGAGCCUCAUUGAUUUUUCUCAUGUGGCUUUUCAAGGAGUAUGGGCUUAUUGGAACACUUGCAUGUCAAUUACUCAGGCUGUAAUCCUAUAGCCUGUGGCUGCUUUACAGGGAGGAGAGCGUCUGCCUUUUGGCUGACACCAUUGAGAACUGGUUAUUUUACCAAGGCUUUGACAUAUUUGAGAAAGACAUGCAUAGACUCAGAUAUGACCAGACAGCUUUAAGGAACUAAGGUUGACUUUAUGAAACCUGGAGCCAUAAAGCCCCGUGGGACUGUUGGCCUGAUACCUUGCUUACAGAGUUCCCAGCAGCCUCACCAGCAUUUCUCCAUUUGAACUGGCCACCAUUUAAGUGGUCAUUAGCCACAUGUGGCUACUAGCCAUGGGACUUGGACAGCAGAGGUGUGGAAAGUCCGCACAUUCUUCCACUCAAAGGAUAUUAGAAGGCCACUAGAAACAGCAGGUGAUGGCCCCAGCUCCUGUCCCUUCAUGCAGAGCAUCUGUCAACACCUAUGGAUAUCUUUUCCUCCCCAUUCCUAUGAAUGUUGCUCAGUUGUUACGUGGCAUGGGCAAAUGUUGCUGGCUGGUGGCAUGGACAUACUGGACAAGCUUGGCCUUCGGUAAAACAAAGACUGGAUUCAAUUACUCAAACUGAAACAGGAAUGCUUGGAUGAACAAGCCUGCCAGGAAGUCCCACUGGAGGUACUCAACGUGUGCCCCUUCCCUCUUUGGACCAAGAACCUGAACUUGAGAGAUGAAUGGCUUAUCCAAGGUUAUGGCAAGGUUACACAGAGCUGAAACUAGACACAGGUGUACAUGCUUAUUGAUCAAGGCUGGCUGUGAAAUCGAACUGCCUCAAAUCUUGAUUCUUUUUGCCACUUCUUAUUCUCUGACCCUGUUUUUCAUAGUUUAGGAUGUAGGAAUAAUAAAAAUAUCAGCUAAUGGGGUAUCCUGACUUUUUGAUGUUUUAGUUCUUGUCAGACAUUUACCAUAAUGCUUAGCACAUGGAUAUGUGUGUGCACACACAUGCACAUGCUUGACACUCAAAAAAUUGUUCCCUGAUAUUAACUUUAUCAGUGCACUUUGCAUCCACCACCAAUUGGCUGUUUUGUCACAAACUGAUUAAAGCAGAACUGUCAAGUGAGGAACUUUAAAGCCAAAGCAUUACGUACUUUGAAAAACUAGCACCUGGGAGGAUUUGUCUCAGCAUUUUUGAUUAGAAGGCAGCAAAAAGAGACUUUGGGGACACAGUUCACCCCUUCAUGAAGCAGCCAUUCAGAACUUUCUCAGAAGGGCUAAUGCCUAAUCUUCCAAAGACCAGCAAGAACAAGCUUAUGGUCUGUUAAAAUCAGAUUUUUAAAAGAUUUUUAUUUAUUUAUUUGAGGGAGAGAGAGAGAGUGAGAGAGAGAGCAUGAGAGGGGAGAAGGUCAGAGGGAGAGGCGGACUCCCCAUGAAGCUGGGAGCCUGAUGCAGUCCUUGACCCUGGGACUCCAGAAUCAAAAUCAGAUUGAUUGACUCAAUACAGUCAGGGAGGACAUUCCUCAGGAGUCACAGAAUGCUGGUUGCCAUGAGGGAGGAGUCUUUUACAAAGUCUGGGCUCUCACAGAAGGAGUCUGAAGCACGUGUAUGGAAAGCAGAGGUCAGUUCUGGAUUAGAAGCUCUUUCUGAGGGGAAAUGAGUAGAAGCAGAGAUUAACCAGGACUUGGGCUCUGUCUUAUUCAGUUCAGGCUGCUGCAACAAAUGAUGACAGACUGGGUGGCUGAAACAGCAAAACAUGUACUAUUCCUUGCAGUUCUAGAGGCUGAGAAGUCCAAAAGCAAGAUCCUGGGAGAUCUGAUAUCUAGCAAGAGACUACUUCAUUAUCUAUAGAUGCCCAUAUUCCUGUUGUAGCCUUGCAUGGCUGACAUCUGGCAGAACAAUCUCUCGGGUCUUUUCUCAGAAGUGCUUUUAUCUCAUUCACAAGGGUUCCAAUCUCAUGACCUCUCAAAGCCCAUACCUCCUGAUGGCACUCCUUGAGGGUUAGGGCUUCAACAUCUGAAUUGGGACAAGACACACACAUUCAGUCCAUUAGCAAGUGUUGUCAUGAGGACAGCAUAGCUUAUCAACUGGGUAUCCCCGGGAAUCCAUGGGACUAGCAAAGCAGAAUCUGGGGGCGUCACUGGUAGAAAGGCAGGAGUUCCCCAAGAGAGAGUCCUCAUAGCAUUUUACAGAGACAGCAUGACCCUUGAGAAACAAUAGUUUCCGUGACCCAUACACCAGCCUUUAUCUAUGCCUGUCCUCCCUGCUGGAUUCACAGCAAGCCUGCUUCUUUCUUUUCCAGUACAAAUGGAUUUCCACUCUCUGAAUCCUGAUGAAUUUUUGCUCUUUUGCAGUUAGUAGGUUGUCCCUCAGGAUUCUGCAUGUCUGGAUUUGCAAUUGUGGAAACUGCCAAAGGUCUAGGGACCUGCGUGGCAGAUCCCGGCCUCUACCACUAUUGCCCAAGGUAGGGACUCUGGUCCCUUGAGCAUCCUGUGCUGCUAUCAAAGGGUUCUGACCCCAAAGGCCUUGCAGUCGAUGCCCUACAAUUUGGGGACACUUGGGCAAUCCCAGAGGACUCAGCCUGCUGCCCAGAAGGAAACUGUCCCAUUUGGAACUCCGGAAAGGAUUCAGAGGAGCAGAAAUUUGCAUGCCCAGCUGAGGACACACCCACACAGAGCUGACUCCUGGACACAAAGCCAGAGCCAGACACUCACCCUCACCUACACUGUCAACUCAGCCACCCAGACAGCUCUCCGUGGGGUCUUCAGGUCAGUCCUGCCAUGUCCCUGGUCCCUAACUCUAACCCUUGGAUGGGUUCUGUAAUGAUCUCCUCAUUUCAGGUUAUGUGGUGGUUCUGCAGGACAUUGUCCUGGUGUGGGGUCAAACACACGGAAGCAUCCCGUGUGAAGUGGCAAACGUGGUAAAGAAAUGACGGCUGGGGAAUCUGACUGUGGAGACAGCACGUAUUUGUGCUGCUAUAACAAGCUGACUGCACUUUGAAAUCACCGCAGAGGAAAUGACUCUUCCAAACAUCCAUGUUAGCACGACGACAUGGAAGCAGAGAGGACAUCAGACUUUGGGAUGGAGGCCAAGCCCUCCCAGACCCAGGUCACCCAAGAUGGAGAGGACACAUGUUAGCAAGAGGCUCGUGGGAGGAUUAAAUCAUGGGCCCCUGUAUCUCAGGUGCAGUAGAAGCAGUGGAUUUGGAAUUCCAGUUUUCCACAACGUUCCACCACAAGCUGGUUAGAACUGUACAAAAGCAGGAAGGGAAGCCCCAGUAAAGUGGACUGGGGAUGCCAGAAGGGGAGGCUGGAAGGGGGCGCCUGGUGCUCAGUGCCCAUUACAGACCCCACAUUGCAAUCCCCACAGGAGAGACUCACCAAUUCCAGGCUGGAGGUUUAUCUCCUGACUUUUUGUAGGAGCUUUGCAGCUCAGCUGGUGAGAAUUCACCAUCACCCUGCCUUUCUCCAGGGGACUUUCUUUCCAAGCACCCCUCCCAACUUCUUCCUCCUCCAUGAAAUAAUGUUCCUCUCCUUUGUUUCUCGCACUUGCUUGUGAUGGGACCAUAGCUUGCUCAGCCCAGACUGCCAUUCUCUGCUCUUCCCAAAUAAAUCCAUGCUGCUGGUCAAAUAACUGGCAGAUUGAGUUUAAGGCAAAUCGAACUAAUAAAUUCAAGAACUUGCAAGGAACAAAAUCAAUAUGCACAAAUUAGUGGCACUCCUACGUGCUCGGAAGGAACCAUCAGAAAGAGACUACAGAGAACCAUCUCAUUUACACCUGCAUCCAAGAGAGCAAGAUACCCGGGAGGCCCCUGAACCAAGAAGGUGACAGACCUGUCCUCUGACAGCCCUGCAACAAUGACGAAAGACAGGGAGGGGGACACACAGAGAUGGGGAGGCACUGUGCUCAGGGAAGAACCCACACCGGGAAAAUACCUACUCUCCCCAAAACCAUCUAGAGUCCUCACUCUGGCUCCUGAACUUCCGGACUCGGCGCCAGCCCGGAGUGGGUGUGGACAUGGGAAGGACCCUGCAGGGCUGAGGUGGGGGGAGCACAAGCACCGUGGCAGGCAGACGCUCCCUGACUGCAGACCAUCUGAGGAGCCCCAGGAACCGAAUCCGCGAGCACACAAACACAGACGAGGACCGAGGAGCACCCAAGCCCAGAAAGGGUGGACCCCACAGCCCUGUGCACAGCACAGCAGGAGGCCACGUCUCCUCACACAAAACGACGGAAGCCCCAGUGUCUACACAGGGCGCCCUUCCUCUGUGGGGUCCUGAGACCACGAACCCCUUGACAGUCCACUCAGGCGGCUUCUCCUCACCUCCUCCAGCGCCUGGUCCUUAGGAGGGUGGACUGCUGUCAGUGUGGGCGUGUCCUCCACAACGGGUCCGGUCAGUGUGGAUGCAGAGCCACACCCUCCUCAGCUUGUCCUGUCAGGGUGGGAGGCGCCCCACAUUCUCCAAAAUUCUCCACAGUGGGUCCUGAAGAGGCGGGGCUCCGGUCCCAGGUGUGGCUGCGCAGCCUGGGCUCAGGGCGGGAGCUGGGGUCUGGUGCCCUCUGCAGGCGGUGGAAGGCAGUGCAGGACUGUGAGAGCUCAUCCUUCAGUGGAAGGUCCUGCUCCCUCCCGGGGUCCAGCUGACGCCAUUUCAUUCCGGAAAUUCAAGCUGCAUGGAGCCUAAUAUCCCCCAACAUCCCCCAAAAUAGCUAAGGAACAAUGAAUUGGAAACAAUGUGGAAUUACAACAGUCCUUGACCCAAACAGUGGUACUGAACAUGGCCCUGAUGCAGACCCACACUCUGACCUCAACUUGGUCUCAAGCCUGGACCCUACCCUAAUCCAAGACCCUAACCCUAGCCCCCAACCCAAACAAUGUUCACAAGAAUCAAAAGGUAGAAACUGCAAAUAUCCAUCAAUGGCAAGCGCAUAAGCAAAGUGUGGUGAAGGGUUUGAAUUUGGGUUCAGGUUCAGGUUUUAGUCAGAGUUCUAGAUCAGGCUUUGGGUUUAGUGUUAGGGUGAGGAUUUAGAGUGAAGGACAAGGGAACAGAAUUAUAGUUUAGGGCUUUAAGUUUAUGAUUUAGGCCUUAAGACUCAGGGCUUAUGGGAUAAAGUUCAAGGUCAAAUUUGGGGUUUGGCUUCAUGCUGAGAUUUGGGUUCAGGGUUCAUGACUUGGAGAUCUGUUUUAGGGUUUGGGUUCGUGGUUCAGGGCUUGGAUCCAGGGCUCAGGUAUAGGCUUUGGGUUCCAUUUCAGGUUUGGGAUUCAGGGUUCUAGUUUGGGCUUUAAGGUCAGCUUAGGUUUCAGCGUUGUUAGGGGUUAAGUUUAGGUUUAGGGAUGACACAUUUUCUUCAGUUGUCAUCAUGGACAAAAAAUUUCUAUCUGAAGUUUCUAAGUCAGAAAUGUAUUUCAUCUUGGGGGCGCCUGGGUGGCUCCGUAUGUUAAGCCUCUGCCUUGGGCUCAGGUCAUGAUCUCAGGGUCCUGGGAUCGAGCCCUUCAUCAGGCUCUCUGCUUGGCGGGGAACCUGCUUCCCCAUCUUUCUUUCUGCCUGACUCUCUGCCUACUUGUGAUCUCUGUCUGUCAAAUAAAUAGAAUCUUUAAAAAAAAAAAAAAAGAAAUGUAUUUCAUCUGGGUGUCAGGAGCUGGUUUGGAAUUUAGGAUCCCAGUAACUCCCUACCAACAGCAUUCUGAUCCUAGAGUCUCCCAGUCACCCAGAAGCGGCUCUUGUCUUGGCUCAAACUUGGCUCUCUGCCCUUGACAGAGAAGGGCAAGUUGGUGCCAAAGUUGGGAUUUCACAAUGGUAGAGGUGUGAAACCAGAUAUUGUGGAACUAUCAUGGAAAAUGAGACAGGACACAAAUAACUGGUUGACUCCUGAUUCUUCCACAAAAACAAAGAACCAAGUUUCCAAUAGAAUCUGAUAAUGUUCCCUAGGAAGGCCUAUGGUACUCAUUACCAGUACCAAAAGAGGACCCCUCCCCUGGUUUAAAUUAAGAAUCACAGCAGGAUAUUUCCUAUUCAGUGUCAA